GCAGUUUAACAUCAAAUUAGAGUUCUCCAGAGAAACAGAACCAAUAGGAUGUGCAUGUUUAUAUAUAAAGAGAUUUAUUAUAAAGAAUUGACUCACACAAUUAGGGAGGCUGAGAAGUCCCAAGAUGUGCAGUCCACAAGUUGGAGACCCAGGAAAACUGGUUUGUAGUUCUAGUUCAAGUCUGAAGGUCUGAGAACCAUGAGAGCUGAUGGCAUAAGUUCCAAGCUGAAAGUCGGCAGGCUGGAGAUCCAAGAAGAGCUGCUGUUUCAGUCCGAGUCUGAAGGCUGAGAAAGACCAUGGUCCCAACUCAAACAAGUCAGAAACACGAAUCAGAGUGCUCUGUACACGGCAGGUCCUCCUCUAGAUCCUGAUCGAGGCCAAGAUCUGAAGGAAGUGUCCAUAAGGAAUGAUUAACCAUCGUUAGGUUGCUAAACCACUCCAGGACUUUUAACUAGAUGAAGAAAAGAAUAUUUGCCAGCUCUCGUCUCCGAGAACAUUCUUGCCUGUGUUUGGAAGGAAAUACUCUGAUAAACUGCAUGGAGUGUGAGGAAGAAUUGAAUAAAAGGAAGAACUUUCUUGAAUUUCCAACGGUAACUGAAUUUGGGGGCCUUGGUAGAAGGGGUGGUGGAGAAGAGCAAUGGCCCAUAGUGGUGAAGGAGGAAAUGCGAUAUGGGAAAAUACAAAGAAGAAUGAGCAAAAUGGAAAAAUAUUGUUGUUUUUAAGCAAUUUUUAAGAAUUGGUGAAAUUUUCUCUGAGUACCAUACACGCGCACGUACGCAUGCACGCACGCAUGCACUGCACAACUGAACAAUCCAGUGGUUUCCAUUAAAACUAGAAGUUAGAACCAUAGCUAAUGUGCGAUGUAAGCACAUAGGGCUAAUGGAUUCCAUAGUCAUCAACCACCCUCCUGCUUUGGAUCACAGACCAGGGGGGCAUGGUUUAAAUAUGUGAAAUAAAUGCAGAGAUUACAUAAUGCCGCUUUAAAUUGUAGUUCAUUUUAAACAGACCACUGUUAUUUACUAAAAUCUCGUGUAUGUGGGGGAGUGUGUGUGUGUCUGUGUGUGUGUGUGUGUGUGUGCGUCUGAGGGGCAUGUGGUUUAAGGAAGCUUGAUUUAUGUGAUCUGGG
rnacentral:lncRNA from 1 species